rnacentral:rRNA from 1 species
UACGGAGGAGGCAAGCGUUAUCCGGAAUUAUUGGGCGUAAAGCGUCCGUAGGUGGCUAGUCAAGUCUGCGGUCAAAGACUGGGGCUUAACCCUGGAAAGGCCGUGGAAACUGACGAGCUAGAGUGCAGUAGGGGUAGAGGGAAUUCCCGGUGUAGCGGUGAAAUGCGUAGAGCUCGGGAGGAACACCAGCGGCGAAGGCGGCUCACUGGACAGUCACUGACACUCAACUACGAAAGC